CUACGGGAUGCUCCAGUGAGGAAUUUUGCGCAAUGGGGGAAACCCUGACGCAGCAACGCCGCGUGAGUGAUGAAGGCUUUCGGGUCGUAAAGCUCUGUCAAGUGGGAAGAACAUACAUAAGGCCAAUACCUUUAUGUACUGACGGUACCACUGAAGGAAGCACCGGCUAACUCCGUGCCAGCAGCCGCGGUAAUACGGGGGGUGCAAGCGUUAUUCGGAAUCAUUGGGCGUAAAGAGCACGUAGGCGGUUAUCUAAGUCAGAUGUGAAAGCCCGGGGCUUAACCCCGGAAGUGCAUUUGAUACUGGGAAACUUGAGUAUGGGAGAGGGAAGUGGAAUUCCUGGUGUAGAGGUGAAAUUCGUAGAUAUCAGGAGGAACACCGGUGGCGAAGGCGACUUCCUGGACCAAUACUGACGCUGAGGUGCGAAGGCGCGGGGAGCAAACAGGAUUAGAUACCCCUGUAGUC
rnacentral:rRNA from 1 species